UGAUGACGAGACGCUAAGGCGUUGAAGCAGUGUAUGUACUUCCAAGAAAAGCUCGCAAUGUCACAAAUCAAAAAUGCCUGUACCAUAACCGACACAGGUGGGUAGGUAGAGUAUACUAAGGGGCGCGAGAUAACUCUCUCUAAGGAACUCGGCAAAAUGACUCCGUAACUUCGGGAGAAGGAGUGCCUUAUUUAUAAGGUUGCAAUAACAAGAUCCAAGCAACUGUUUAUCAAAAACACAGGUCUCCGCUAAGUCGUAAGACGAUGUAUGGGGGCUGACGCCUGCCCAGUGCCAGAAGGUUAAAGAAGUUGGUUAGUGUAUGCGAAGCUGAUGACUGAAGCCCUGGUGAACGGCGGCCGUAACAAUAACGGUCCUAAGGUAGCGAAAUUCCUUGUCGGGUAAGUUCCGACCCGCACGAAAGGCGUAAUGAUUUGGAUACUGUCUCGGAGAGAGGCUCGGUGAAAUAGACUUGUCUGUGAAGAUGCGGACUACCUGCACCAGGACAGAAAGACCCUAUGAAGCUUUACUGUAACUUGAAAUUGGAAUUGGACUUUGCUUGCGCAGUAUAGGUGGGAAGCGUUGAAAAUAUUCUUGCGGGAGUAUUGGAGCUAUCAGUGAGAUACCACUCUUGUAAUGUUAGAUUUCUAACUUUGAACCAUAAUCUGGUCAAAGAACAGUUUCAGGUGGGCAGUUUGACUGGGGCGGUCGCCUCCCAAAUGGUAACGGAGGCGUACAAAGGUUUCCUCUGAACGGAUAGAAAUCGUAUCUAGAGUGUAAAGGCAUAAGGAAGCUUGACUGUGAGACCUACAAGUCGAGCAGGGACGAAAGUCGGUCUUAGUGAUCUGACGGUACUGAGUGGAAAGGCCGUCACUCAACGGAUAAAAGUUACUCUAGGGAUAACAGGCUGAUCUCCCCCAAGAGUUCACAUCGACGGGGAGGUUUGGCACCUCGAUGUCGGCUCAUCGCAUCCUGGGGCGGUAGUACGUCCCAAGGGUUGGGCUGUUCGCCCAUGAAAGCGGUACGCGAGCUGGGUUCAGAACGUCGUGAGACAGUUCGGUCCAUAUCCGGUGUAGGCGCUAGAAUAUUGAGAGGAGCCUUCUUUAGUACGAGAGGACCGAGAAGGACACACCGCUGGUGUACCAGUUAUCGUGCCAACGGUAAACGCUGGGUAGCUAUGUGUGGAGUGGAUAACCGCUGAAAGCAUCUAAGUGGGAAGCCCACCUCGAGAUGAGUAUUCUCAC
rnacentral:rRNA from 1 species